CUGGGAAUGAGGGCAAAAACAUGCAUGCAGUGACAGUCAAUAACUUAUGGCUGAGUAGAGCAGCCGCGCAUCCCUCUGCCCUUCCUCCGCCGGCGCAUCCCUCUGCCUUCCUCCGGCGCAUCCCUCUGCUCUUCUUCCUCCUGCGCAUCCCUCUGCUCUUCUUCCUCCUGCGCAUCCCUCCGUUUCCUCCUCCGGAGCCCUGGCCGCCGGCAGCGGGACGGGCUCUGAGCCGGGUGGCAGCUCCAGGCGGCCCCAGAGCCGCAGCCCUCCGCCGUGCGCCACAGAACGCCCGGCAGGUUCGGUGAGGUCCCCGGCAGCGAGCAGUGCAGCGGGACAGGCUGCGCUCCGAGCGGGGACCGG
rnacentral:lncRNA from 12 species